rnacentral:tRNA from 1 species
GGCGAGAUGGCCGAGCGGUCUAAGGCGCCAGACUAAGUAUCUGGUCCGAAAGGGCGUGGGUUCGAAUCCCACUCUCGUCA